rnacentral:rRNA from 1 species
CCCUUAGAUGUUCUGGGCAGCACGCGCGCUACAAUGGUCUUCGCAAACGGAUGCAUUCUCGAAGGAGAAUGCCAAUCUUGGAAUCUAUGCCUUGGUCGGGACAGUUGCUUGCAAUUUUUCGACUCGAACCAGGAAUUCCUUGUAAUCGUGAUUCAUCACAUCACGAUGAAUACGUCCCUGCCCUUUGUACACACCGCCCGUCGCUCCUACCGAUUGAAACAUACGGUGAAAAUCUCGGAGAGGAAUGUUCUUAGUGCAAAGUUCGCUUUGUAUUUCCAUGCUUCAAAGUUGUUUAAAUCUCAUGUUUUAGAGGAAGGAGAAGUCGUAACA